ensembl:lncRNA
GUCGAGGUCGUUGUUGUCUCUGUGUGGGACAGACGGACAAAUACAAUAUAUUUUAUUUCUCUCAGACUGAUCCCCUUUUCGUCGACUUCAUGUUCAGAUGUCGUGCGUCUCACUGUUCUUUUUGUGUCUCUGUCUCUUGGUUGUACUCGUGUCUGUGGUCAGACUUGUUUUAGCUGCAGAGGUUGUGGUUUUAAAGAGAGGACAUAAAUACUCAUCAGGAAGAAGCUCUGCACCUCAGAAAGUGGUGAGUUCAUCACACUCACUCACUCCCAGCAACACAACCUUCUCACAACUGGAACCAGUUAAAUGCAAAGGUUGUUUGAUGGAUUGAUAAUGAAGCAGCAGCUGUAGGACAAAGCGGGGACACAUCUGGCCUAUCGAUGAAAUAUACAUCGUGUAGUGAGACCACAUGUUCCUGGGAGGUUUGGUGAGGUACAAAAGAAAAUGAUGACUGUUGCUAGCUGUCAUGGUUACCACACAGAGGGAAUUGCUAACUAGUUAACUAGCUACUUAGUUAGCUCGUCCGUCUCCACGGCGGUGGUCAGUGAGCCGGAGGGACUGUUGGACUUCCUGUCCCCAGAUUAGCACUAAAGCGCGGUGGCGUUGAGCAGCUAGCUAACUAGCCU